CAGGCCUAACACAUGCAAGUCGAACGAGACCUUCGGGUCUAGUGGCGCACGGGUGCGUAACGCGUGGGAAUCUGCCCUUGGGUUCGGAAUAACGUCGGGAAACUGACGCUAAUACCGGAUGAUGACGUAAGUCCAAAGAUUUAUCGCCCAAGGAUGAGCCCGCGUAGGAUUAGCUAGUUGGUGAGGUAAAGGCUCACCAAGGCGACGAUCCUUAGCUGGUCUGAGAGGAUGAUCAGCCACACUGGGACUGAGACACGGCCCAGACUCCUACGGGAGGCAGCAGUGGGGAAUAUUGGACAAUGGGCGAAAGCCUGAUCCAGCAAUGCCGCGUGAGUGAUGAAGGCCUUAGGGUUGUAAAGCUCUCUUACCCGGGAUGAUAAUGACAGUACCGGGAGAAUAAGCUCCGGCUAACUCCGUGCCAGCAGCCGCGGUAAU
rnacentral:rRNA from 1 species